UACGUAGGUGGCAAGCGUUAUCCGGAAUUACUGGGUGUAAAGGGAGCGCAGGCGGGAAGCCAAGUCAGCUGUGAAAACUACGGGCUUAACUUGUAGACUGCAGUUGAAACUGGUUUUCUUGAGUGAAGUAGAGGUUGGCGGAAUUCCGAGUGUAGCGGUGAAAUGCGUAGAUAUCAGGAGGAACACCGGCGGCGAAGGCGGCUUACUGGACUGUAACUGACGUUGAGGCUCGAAGGCGUGGGGAGCAAACAGG
rnacentral:rRNA from 1 species